rnacentral:misc_RNA from 1 species
GUAAUAUCAAGCGGAGGCGCUAAAAGCGGUGGCAUCAAGCUUUGAAUAAAACCCUAGGGUUUUAAAAGUUGGUAAUUGCCCAGCCAAGUCGUGAAAUCUCACUGUCAGAUUCACUAGUGACAAACGGAGUGGAUUUUGUCACUACCCAUUUUGGUUUUCAGCCCUUUCCGGUUUCUUUCUUGCCGCCUUCCCUCCUUCGCCGUCCACCAUUCACUUCUUUCCAUCUGCUACAUAUUUUGAAGUGAAAUUUGAGAAACUGUACCGUCAAAAAUGGAUGCCAG